UUUGAUCCUGGUUCAGAUUGAACGCUGGCGGCAUGCCUAACACAUGCAAGUCGAGCGGCAGCGCGGGGGCAACCCUGGCGGCGAGCGGCGGACGGGUGAGUAAGGCAUCGGAAUCUGCCCUGAUGCGGGGGAUAACGUAGGGAAACUUACGCUAAUACCGCAUACGACCGAGAGGUGAAAGCGGGGGACCGAAAGGCCUCGCGCAGCAGGAUGAGCCGAUGUCCGAUUAGCUGGUUGGUGGGGUAAAGGCCUACCAAGGCGACGAUCGGUAGCUGGUCUGAGAGGAUGAUCAGCCACACUGGGACUGAGACACGGCCCAGACUCCUACGGGAGGCAGCAGUGGGGAAUAUUGGACAAUGGGGGCAACCCUGAUCCAGCAAUGCCGCGUGUGUGAAGAAGGCCUUCGGGUUGUAAAGCACUUUUAUCGGGAGCGAAACGCGCCAGACUAAUAUUCUGGUGAACUGACGGUACCCGAGGAAUAAGCACCGGCUAACUCCGUGCCAGCAGCCGCGGUAAUACGGGAGGGUGCAAGCGUUAAUCGGAAUUACUGGGCGUAAAGCGUGCGUAGGC
rnacentral:rRNA from 1 species